AGAGCUGGCACUUCCCAUUAUACCCGCGAGAUUGGCCAUUGUUGGAGUAACCACCGCGACCGUAGGAUGAACCACGGUUGCCACGGCCACGGCCACCGAAGCGGAUACGGCCGAACUGCUGUCCGGCGACUAAGGCAGCCGACGGAACCAAAUCAGAUGCGGCGGAGGAGGCCGGCGCACGAGCAGUAAUCUGAGCCUCCACGCUUAACAGCUUGUCAUGUAAUUCAGCAAAAGAGAAUGGAGAUUCACGGGCUUGGAUAGCAUGAGAGAGCUCCAUAUACGGAUCAUCAAGACAAUUGAG
rnacentral:lncRNA from 1 species